GACGAACGCUGGCGGCGUGCUUAACACAUGCAAGUCGAACGGAAAGGCCCUGCUUUUGUGGGGUGCUCGAGUGGCGAGCGGGUGAGUAACACGUGAGUAACCUGCCCUUGACUUUGGGAUAACUUCAGGAAACUGGGGCUAAUACCGGAUAGGAGCUCCUGCUGCAUGGUGGGGGUUGGAAAGUUUCGGCGGUUGGGGAUGGACUCGCGGCUUAUCAGCUUGUUGGUGGGGUAGUGGCUUACCAAGGCUUUGACGGGUAGCCGGCCUGAGAGGGUGACCGGCCACCUUGGGACUGAGAUACGGCCCAGACUCCUACGGGAGGCAGCAGUGGGGAAUAUUGCCCAAUGGGCGGAAGCCUGAUGCAGCAACGCCGCGUGCGGGAUGACGGCCUUCGGGUUGUAAACCGCUUUCGCCUGUGACGAAGCGUGAGUGACGGUAAUGGGUAAAGAAGCACCGGCUAACUACGUG
rnacentral:rRNA from 1 species